rnacentral:rRNA from 1 species
AUUGAACGCUGGCGGCAUGCUUUACACAUGCAAGUCGAACGGCAGCGCGGGCUUCGGCCUGGCGGCGAGUGGCGAACGGGUGAGUAAUGCAUCGGAACGUGCCCAGUAGUGGGGGAUAGCCCGGCGAAAGCCGGAUUAAUACCGCAUACGACCUGAGGGUGAAAGCGGGGGACCGAAAGGCCUCGCGCUAUUGGAGCGGCCGAUGUCGGAUUAGCUAGUUGGUGGGGUAAAGGCUUACCAAGGCGACGAUCCGUAGCUGGUCUGAGAGGACGACCAGCCACACUGGGACUGGGACGCGGCCCAGACUCCUACGGGAGGCAGCAGUGGGGAAUUUUGGACAAUGGGGGCAACCCUGAUCCAGCCAUGCCGCGUGCGGGAAGAAGGCCUUCGGGUUGUAAACCGCUUUUGUUCGGGAAGAAAUCCUCUGGGCUAAUACCCCGGGGGGAUGACGGUACCGGAAGAAUAAGCACCGGCUAACUACGUG